rnacentral:rRNA from 1 species
CGGGAAUCUUCCACAAUGGACGAAAGUCUGAUGGAGCAACGCCGCGUGAGCGAAGAAGGUUUUCGGAUCGUAAAGCUCUGUUGUGAGGGAAGAACAAGUACGAGAGUAACUGCUCGUACCUUGACGGUACCUCAUUAGAAAGCCACGGCUAACUACGUGCCAGCAGCCGCGGUAAUACGUAGGUGGCAAGCGUUGUCCGGAAUUAUUGGGCGUAAAGCGCGCGCAGGCGGUCCUUUAAGUCUGAUGUGAAAGCCCACGGCUCAACCGUGGAAGGUCAUUGGAAACUGGAGGACUUGAGUACAGAAGAGGAAAGCGGAAUUCCACGUGUAGCGGUGAAAUGCGUAGAGAUGUGGAGGAACACCAGUGGCGAAGGCGGCUUUCUGGUCUGUAACUGACGCUGAGGCGCGAAAGCGUGGGGAGCAAAC